UAUGAAACGAGAUGCCAAUGAC
rnacentral:siRNA from 1 species